AAGCUCGUAGUUGAAUUUCGGGGUUCUACCGUUGGUCGGGCUAACCAGUCUGUACUAGCGUGUAGAAUUCCUACCUUCUGGGGAACCAUCAUGUUAUUAAUUUAGCGUGGUGGGAAACCAGGACCUUUACCUUGAAAAAAUUAGAGUGUUCAAAGCAGGCUUACGUCUGAAUACAUUAGCAUGGAAUAAUAAAAUAGGACGGUGGUCCCGUUUUGUUGGUUUCUGAAUCACCGUAAUGAUUAAUAGGGAUAGUUGGG
rnacentral:rRNA from 1 species